AGCUAUGGGGCCAGUCAAGAUUGUUUCCUGGUAGGCUGCUCUGAGAACAGCUGAGCCCUGCUCUUCUGAUAUUUCCACCAAAAUUGCGUAACUUGAAACUUGUCAUGAGGAAACACCCACAAACCUGAGUUAGUUAGUUAGUUAACUGACCCAUAUUCCUCAAAAAUGCCAGUGUCAUGAGAAAGACUCAGAAAGUUGUUCCAGAUACCAGGAGACUUGAGACAAGAUAACCAAAUUGAAAUGUUGGUUCCUUUUACAGUACUUGCAUAAAUGACAACACUUUAAUGAGGACUUAGAUGAGAUAAUAGCAUUGUUUCAGAGUUAGUUUCCUGAUUUUGAUGUCUGUCUAUGGUCAUAUCAAGGGAAUUUAUGGUUUCAGGAAACACAAACUAAGAUAUUUAGGGAGUAAAAGAUCAUUCCAUGUACAACUUAUUCUUAGAUGAGCAUGAGAGAACUUUCUGGUUGAAGAAAAUGUUCUGUAUCUUGAUUAUGGUGAUGGUUACAAUUGUUACACGAACACAUUUACAUUUGUCAAAGAUCACUGAGUUUAAAUGAUGAAUGUUAGUAUUUGUAACUCUACCUCAAUAAUAAAGCUGUUUCUUUCCAAAA
rnacentral:lncRNA from 1 species